rnacentral:tRNA from 1 species
UCCCUGGUGGCUCAGAUGGUAAAGCGUCUGUCUGCAAUGCAGGAGACGUGGGUUCAAUCCCUGUGUCGGGAA